CUACGUGCCAGCAGCCGCGGUAAUACGUAGGUCCCGAGCGUUGUCCGGAUUUAUUGGGCGUAAAGCGAGCGCAGGCGGUUAGAUAAGUCUGAAGUUAAAGGCUGUGGCUUAACCAUAGUACGCUUUGGAAACUGUUUAACUUGAGUGCAAGAGGGGAGAGUGGAAUUCCAUGUGUAGCGGUGAAAUGCGUAGAUAUAUGGAGGAACACCGGUGGCGAAAGCGGCUCUCUGGCUUGUAACUGACGCUGAGGCUCGAAAGCGUGGGGAGCAAACAGGAUUAGAUACCCUGGUAGUCCACGCCGUAAACGAUGUCAAUUAGCUGUUGGGCAACUUGAUUGCUUAGUAGCGUAGCUAACGCGUGAAAUUGACCGCUUGGGGAGUACGGUCGCAAGAUUAAAACUCAAAGGAAUUGACGGGGACCCGCACAAGCGGUGGAUGAUGUGGAUUAAUUCGAUGCAACGCGAAGAACCUUACCUGGUCUUGACAU
rnacentral:rRNA from 1 species